AGAAACUACCAGUGCCUGGUGAAGAAGUACCUCAUCCAGAAAUCCCCGACUCGCCAGCUAGUGACACUUCUUCUGCGACUGAUCGAGACAGAAUGGAAUAUCUCGACAUGAACUUCAAGUAUCUAAAACACGUGGUUUUAAAAUACAUGUGUAGCGAUAAUAAACAGUCACGGCAGCUCAUCAAUGUCAUAUCACACAUGCUGAGAUUCAGUCCCAAGGAACGAAAAUGUGUUCUCGAUGCGUCCGAAUGGAAGCUGCCACUUGAAUAAGGAUCAGAAAUUUCGAGUACGCAUGCUCGGGACAAGGGUUAAAGAGCUUCGCCAAGUACGGCGGUCAGUACGUCUUCAUUUCAUCACGCGAAAAAGUUAAGGAGACUGAGACCAAUUUGCGCAUGCGUAUUUGGAAAUUCGAAAGUUGCGAAAUCAAUAGAUAUAUUUAUUUUAUAUACGAGAUAGAAAAUAUAUGAUAAACAAGCGGGGAAAAUUGCUAUUGGAUUGGGAGGGGAGAGUGGUUGACUAUGGUUUCCGUUACAAGUACACUAAAGUAUUUCUUUUCUCUGCUUUUCUUCAUUGUCCAACUUUGACUCCUUUUCAAAUGUUCUUCAGUUUAAAUUCAAUUUAUUUUCUUUCAAUUACACAAUACCCAUGUAAAAAUCUGUCACCAAAGUUUGUCUUUAAAACUGAAAAUUAGAUGGAAACGCCAUUUGUGCACUUUUCAAGUUCACUUAUUAAUAUUCUUUCUUCUUUAUUUUUGAAUGAUACCCUUGUACAUUGUCCGAUAACGUUUAGCGAAUUAGUGUACAGUACUUGUUAUUUAGAGAUUUGUACAAGAUUUUCUACAACAAUAAAGCUGUAAAUUACAAAGUGUU